rnacentral:rRNA from 1 species
CCUACGUGAGGCAGCCGUGGGGAAUAUUGCACAAUGGGGGAAACUCUGACGCAGCGACGCCGCGUGAGUGAAGAAGUAUUUCGGAAUGUAAAGCUCUAUCAGCAGGGAAGAAAAUGACGUUACCUGACUAAGAAGCCCCGGCUAACUACGUGCCAGCAGCCGCGGUAAUACGUAGGGGGCAAGCGUUAUCCGGAUUUACUGGGUGUAAAGGGAGCGUAGACGGCUGCGCAAGUCUGAAGUGAAAUCCCAUGGCUUAACCAGGGAACUGCUUGGGAAACUGGUCAGCUGGAGUGCAGGAGAGGUAAGCGGAAUGCCUAGUGUAGCGGUGAAAUGCGUAGAUAUUAGGAGGAACACCAGUGGCGAAGGCGGCUUACUGGACUGUAACUGACGUUGAGGCUCGAAAGCGUGGGGAGCAAACAGGAUUAGAUACCCCAGUAGUC